rnacentral:rRNA from 1 species
GCCGUGGUAAUACGGAGGGCGCGAGCGUUGUCCGGAAUCACUGGGCGUAAAGGGCGCGUAGGCGGCGCGGGCAGCGUGCGGUGAAAGCCCGGGGCUCAACCCCGGGUCGGCCGUGCGGACUCCCGCGCUCGAGCACUGUAGGGGCGGGCGGAAUUCCGGGUGUAGCGGUGGAAUGCGUAGAGAUCCGGAAGAACACCGGUGGCGAAGGCGGCCCGCUGGGCAGUGGCUGACGCUGAGGCGCGACAGCGUGGGGAGCAAACAGGAUUAGAUACCCUGGUAGUCCACGCCGUAAACGAUGGGCACUAGGUGCCUGGGGGAGCGACCCCCCGGGUGCCGGCGCUAACGCAUUAAGUGCCCCGCCUGGGGAGUACGGCCGCAAGGCUGAAACUCAAAGGAAUUGACGG